UAUCCAGCCCAGAAAAAAAAAACCCAGAAAGCAAAAACAACAACGAGAAUCUCAAACUAGGGUUUUGCACUCACUCAUCUCUAUCAUCAUCUUCAUCUUCCUCAAACCAGUUUCCACCACUGAGCACUCCACAGACUCAUCAUCAUCACCAAUGGUAGGAGUAGCAUUCGAUGUCGGAGCCGUUCCUUUCAACCCCGACGGAUGGGGCCCAAUGGACUCCUCCACCACCGCCGCCGCCAACAACAACGCCAACAACCUCCCUCUCAACGUCCCCUUCGCCCCUUUCUCCCGCUCCGACAAACUCGGCCGAAUUGCCGAUUGGACCCGCAACUUCAACAACCAAACCCGAUCCAAAAACCCCGCUGACUCCGCCUUCGAUUUCACCCUCGAUGAUUCCUUCCCUGGCAACACCGAUGACGACGCUACAUUCCGCUUAGUCGACGGUAAACCUCCACCCCGUCCUAAAUUCGGCCCGAAAUGGAGAUACCAGCAGCAACGGCAACUUCCUCAGCGUCGCGAUGAGGAAGUCGAAGCGAAGAAACGUGAGGCGGAGAAGGAGAGAGCUCGUCGCGAUCGGCUUUACCAUCAGAAUCGGUCGAACCCUAAUAAUCCUCGACGGGAAGCCGCGGUUUGUAAAUCGUCAGUUGAUAUUCAGCCGGAGUGGAAUAUGCAUGAACAGCUCCCGUUUUCGACUUUCACUAAGCUGUCCUACAAUGUUCCUGAGCCUGAAGAUCUUCUCCUAUGUGGUGCUCUUGAGAAUUAUGAUCGUACAUUCGAUAGAAUUAACCCGAAGAAUGAGCGUCGGCUCGAGAGGUUUAAGAAUCGGAACUUCUUCAAGGUUACAACCACUGAUGACCCUGUUAUUAGGAGGCUUGCGAAUGAGGAUAAAGCGACGGUUUUUGCAACAGAUACGAUUCUCUCAACUCUCAUGUGUGCUCCUAGGUCUGUUUAUUCCUGGGAUAUUGUUGUUCAGCGUGUUGGGAAUAAGUUGUUUUUUGAUAAACGUGAUGGGUCGCAGUUGGAUUUGCUUUCGGUUCAUGAGACGUCGCAGGAGCCUUUGCCUGAAGCUAAAGAUGAUAUUAACUCUGCUCAUUCUUUGAGUGUUGAAGCUGCUUAUAUCAAUCAGAAUUUCUCUCAGCAGGUGUUGAUUAGGGAUGGGAACAAGGUUACUUUUGAUGAGCCUAACCCUUUUGCUAACGAGGGUGAAGAGGUUGCUUCGGUUGCUUAUAGGUAUAGGAGGUGGAAGCUUGAUAAUGAUAUGUAUCUUGUUGCUAGGUGUGAGGUGCAUAGUGUUGUUGAAUUGAAUAAGCAAAGGUCGUUCCUUACUGUGAAUGCUUUGAAUGAGUUUGAUCCGAAGUAUUCAGGGGUUGAUUGGAGGCAGAAGUUGGAAACUCAAAGAGGUGCUGUUUUGGCUACUGAGCUCAAGAACAAUGCUAACAAGUUGGCUAAGUGGACUGCACAAGCUCUUUUGGGUAGUGCUGAUAUGAUGAAGUUGGGUUAUGUGUCUCGGAUUCAUCCUCGGGACCAUUUUAAUCAUGUUAUCUUGGGCGUGGUUGGAUAUAAACCCAAGGAUUUUGCGGCACAAAUUAAUUUGAACGCCAACAACAUGUGGGGUAUUGUGAAGUCUAUUGUGGACAUGUGUAUGAAGAUGAAUGAGGGGAAAUAUGUUAUUGUGAAGGAUCCAUCUAAGCCUCAGAUUAGGAUUUAUGAGGUUCCGGCUGAUGCAUUUGAGAAUGACUAUGUGGAGGAGCCUCUUCCGGAAGAUGAACAAGUUCAGCCUACGGCAGAGGGUGCUGAUGGUGGAGAGGAAGCUGCUGCUACUGCUAUAAAUGACGUGGAAGAUAAGCCAAUUGAUGCUCAAGCUUAAAAGGGCCACUGGUAGCCAGAAAAUGAAGACAAAUGUUGCUGAUGUAUUGCAAUUAUGGCCGCGGAGACUCCAAAGCCCUUCAUGUUGCAGUAGUUGUUAGUUUUGGAAUUCAAUUUUAAACCUUGGUUGUGCUUUUUGAGCAAUUAACGGCCUUUCGCUUGGGAACAUCACACUAUGCUCAGAAUCAUAUUCACUUCUUCACUGCUAUUUGUUGGUCAAGAUUUUGCCAUUCAAACCUUGUGAUAUUACCUCUAGAAUAAUUUUUUUUAUAAAGCAUACUGAGUUGUAUGAUGCUACAGAUGUUUAUGAUCUAUAAACCUUGGCAGAUUUAGGCUGUGGAACCAUUAAAAGACUGUGUUAUGCUUUUGAGUUUAUA